rnacentral:rRNA from 1 species
AACGAACGCUGGCGGCGUGCCUAACACAUGCAAGUCGAGCGAGAAAGCCCGCAAGGGUGAGUAAAGCGGCGCACGGGUGCGUAACACGUGGGUAAUCUGCCCUGGAGUCCGGAAUAACUCGCCGAAAGGCGUGCUAAUGCCGGAUAAGACCACGGGAGCCUCGGCUCCUGCGGAAAAAGGUGGCCUCUGUACACAAGCUAUCACUCCUGGAUGAGCCCGCGGCCCAUCAGCUAGUUGGCGGGGUAAUGGCCCACCAAGGCAACGACGGGUAGCUGGGCUGAGAGGAAGAUCAGCCACACUGGAACUGAGACACGGUCCAGACUCCUACGGGGGGCAGCAGUGGGGAAUCUUGAGCAAUGGGCGAAAGCCUGACGCAGCAACGCCGCGUGUGUGAUGAAGGUCUUCGGAUCGUAAAGCACUGUCGCGAGGGACGAAUAAGGGCUGGGUGAACAAUCCAGUCCGAUGACGGUACCUCGAGAGGAAGCACCGGCUAACUCUGUGCCAGCAGCCGCCGUAAAAC